rnacentral:rRNA from 1 species
UACGGAGGGUGCAAGCGUUGUUCGGAAUUACUGGGCGUAAAGCGUGUCUCGGCGGAUUGAUAAGUUAGGUGUUAAAGACCCGGGCUCAACCCGGGGACUGCGCUUAAUACUGUCAGUCUUGAGUAACAGAGGGAUGAGUGGAAUUCCUGGUGUAGCAGUGAAAUGCGUAGAUAUCAGGAGGAACACCUGUGGCGAAAGCGACUCAUUGGCUGUUUACUGACGCUCAAGCACGAAAGCGUGGGUAGCAAACAGG